GCUUCUGCAGUCUCGUGCUCUGGCGCUGGGGGUUGUGCCUUUGAGGGCCCUGGGAAAAAAUGACUCCGACCUUUCAAAGGUGCACGGGAUGAUCGAACUUUCUCAUACCCUUCGAGUGGAGAUAAGAACACGGGACUUGCUUUGGACAAUGAAAUGAAUCACAAUGAAUACCCAAGUUGGAGUGAGUUUCUGGGUGGCCCAAGGAGCAAGCACACAUGUAUUUUUGGCAGGUUCUUGGAUGAGGCCGCAGAUGGCGUCAAAGUCGGGACAUCUGGCUGCGUGGAAAGCGUCAGGCUGGGCCAUAUAAGCCCAGGUUGCGGGCAGCUUGGGAGAUCCUGG